UACGAACCUUGCUAACGUUAUUCGGAAUCACUGGGCGUAAAGGGUGCGUAGGCGGGUCUUUAAGUCAGGGGUGAAAUCCUGGAGCUCAACUCCAGAACUGCCUUUGAUACUGAGGAUCUUGAGUUCGGGAGAGGUGAGUGGAACUGCGAGUGUAGAGGUGAAAUUCGUAGAUAUUCGCAAGGACACCAGUGGCGAAGGCGGCUCACUGGCCCGAUACUGACGCUGAGGCACGAAAGCGUGGGGAGCAAACAGG
rnacentral:rRNA from 1 species